rnacentral:lncRNA from 1 species
CCACAGGUGCAGUGGGCAGGGUGGAGCUGUAAGCCCUGUUGCGGCUGCUGGUCAGCUGAGCCAAGUACAAAGAUCUGUUCAGCCAAGUGUCACGUUUCAAGGCCACAUAAACCCCAAUGUAAGUGUGGCCUCUCAGGCCGGGGGCUGCCUGAGGGCAGUAAUGGUGUGAUGGCCAACUCUCCCAGGGCCUGUACCUCUGGUGCCCUUCUAACCUGUGAUGGUUGGUCCCAGUGAGAGCCCAUCAGGCAUGCCCCAUCACCCCACUUUAUAGAUCAGAGAAGACAGGCCCCUGGAGGGUCAGCUCCUUGUGGCCCCCUCACAGUGGGUCAGGGGCUGACCCAGUCUGGAAGCAGGCUGGGCCCUAACCACUUGGCUGUUCUGCCAGAUCCCUUUUGAAAAUCAAAUGCAAUGUUGUUACGGAGCCGGGGCCUUCCGAGAAACUGAGACAAUGCAGAGACCCCUCUUCAAACCCUGAUUCUUGUGAUCAAGUCAGAUUUCAGACAUGUCACACAGAGUAACAGGAAUGAGUUUAUUGAAGGAGUAGGAAAGGGGACACUCAAGGGAGAGAGUGGGUCCUCUCAGGAGAGGGACAGUGUCCUUUCCUACAGUUCAGCUUUAUUGGGGAUCCCAGAGAAGUUUCCAGAGAGCCCUGCCCAGAUCCACCUCUUGACUUUUG